rnacentral:misc_RNA from 1 species
UUUCCGUAGGUGAACCUGCGGAAGGAUCAUUCAUAAUAAAGUGUUUUAUGGCACUUUUUAAAAAUCCAUAUCCACCUUGUGUGCAAUGUUAGAUCUCGUCAAUCUUGGCGAGAUUUUUAUACAUCAACUCAUUCUUUAACUAAUUUGUCUGAAAAAUAUUAUGAAUACUUAAUUCAAAAUACAACUUUCAACAACGGAUCUCUUGGCUCUCGCAUCGAUGAAGAACGCAC